GUCCCUGUGUCCCCAAGAAGGGAGCACAGCACAGUCAUUUCUGUGUUUCUGUUUGGAGAACAAAGCUAUCAGUAUGUCAGCUUCACCAUCUGAAGAGGCUGUCGAUCAUUCAAGCCCCCCUUCAACAACUCAGAGUUAAUUUCAAGCAAUUUGACAGUAGUGAGGGUUCAAAAACAAUACAUCUCUCAAGUCACUAUAAGGGAAAUGAAGUCUAUUACAUGUGACAUGCAAACUGGGCAUGCAGUCACAAGGCUGAGCUGAAAAUGUUACUGUGAAGGUGUCUGGAAAUGAAAGGAGAACCUGAGGAAACUGUAACAAGGAUGUCAUUGCAGACACAUGGGAGAGGGAAAAAAAAAUAGCUAAGUGUAGGUGCUGAAGCUAUUGCUCUGCUUGCAUGACAUAGGAUACACAGGCAGCAUCAGCCUUGGUCUCCAAGUACAGCUUCUCUUUCACUUCUCAGUGAAAACUGAAAUUCCACAUAAACAGGAGUCAUUCACAAGAUUUUCCUUUCCCUUGCGAUCUGACAAGUAACCAGAUUUUUCAGUUCCAGUGUUAUUAUAAUGAGGAUACUGUUACAGCCUGGUAACCUGGAGAAUUAUUUAGUGACUCAUCUCUAUAAAGAAUGACUAGUAAGAUUUUUAAGGCAUACUGACAAUAGUUUUAGUGCUCAAGAACUCUGUUAGAGUCAAAGUUAUCCCCUUGCCCCUCCGGCUGACCUUCUCAAAUAGCAACAAAUCAAAACCACAGAGAUACAAACAAGAAAAUUCCAAAACAUAAUGAAAAAUCCCCACAGAAACAAGUACUCUAUAGUCACACUGUCACAACAUUCACUCCUAAUAAAGCAGUGUAAAAUAUUAUUUACAAAUGCCACCAUAAGAUGUAGUAAAGUACUGCUUAACUUGAUUAUGUUCACAUUAGCAAUCCCUACUACUGUAUUUAACUAUCCUAUCUAUUCAGAUGGUACCAGCUGUCAUGUGUUCCUCUAUACUCCCCAGGUUCCUGCUUCCCCCUCUGCACAAGCUGUGUCCUCUUGUCACAACCUCUAAUUGUCUCUUCUUCAGCACAAUCCAACAUCAGCAGACAGUAAAGGCUGGAGGUUGUUUGCCCUGCUGGAUCACUUCCUUUCUGUAAUCCCUGUUCUAACUCCUUCAAAGCAUCCCUUUCAUUGCAUCAGAUUUUUAGCCUUACCUUAAAGGUCAUACAAAACCUUUUUGUCCUGUAAUUACCCCAUUCCACUCUUACCUCCCAGGUUUUAUCUCCAGUUUCAACAGAACUAAGACUCUGAUUAAGGUAAACAAAAGAAUAAUGCAGUUUUAAAAUAAGUUCUUUGGCUAACUAUGUGAGACACAAAAUUUCCCACAGUAAUUAGCAAUUGUGUUCAAAGGAGCACGCUGCCCUCUGGAAGUGCCCACACAGCCUCCUCUGGCAUGACCCUACCUGGCUACCAACCAAGACCCUCCCUCGUAACUACUUAAAGAACAAUUAACCCUUAGUAAUUCAAAGCCUCCUACAGGAAGCUGGGGAAAUAGGACAAAGAACUACCUCCUGCUGCCCUCCUCCUUCCCUGGUGUGUGUUACCUAAGGCAAGGCACCUGGCUGUGCUUCCACAUGCUGCCAAAUUUCAGCCAUGGACAUGAAGUGACCUGCUGCUGGAGAGCCCAGGGACAGCACCUGCACUCACAUGCCAGAGAACCAAGUCUCAACUUUAAAAUAUGCUUCACUGUCAAAUGAUUCCAGUUUUGCAAAACAAGCACGGGCUUCUACAGGGAGUAUUGAGCACCUUCAUAUUAUGCUUCUCUAAACUCUUAAAAUUAACACUUCAUAUAAUACUCAGAAUAUCUCAAUAUUUUAAUCAAUCUCAUUGAUUAAAAAUCCUUCUGAUUAAAGUAACAAUCUACUUCAGCAACAGAUCUGAAGGUGACCUUUAAAGAAUGGGCUAUUUCUAUCAUUAACCACAUAAAUGAAAAUUUGGUCUCCAAACACAUGCACAAUUAACUGUAACAGAAUAAUGAAAAUAUUUCCCAAUUAUCAACCAAGUCCUUUCAGAUCCAAUAGGAGUUUGUAGAGCAGUUCCACAGGUCAGUCACACCAGAACUAAACAAGAUGUAAUUGUGUUUCUUAUCAAGUAAGUUUAGCAAGCAGAGGUGCAAGACAAAGCCAGGAAUCCUGGAGGCUUCCAUUCAUUUACAGGACACAGAAGACACAAGCAGAAGAAGGAAGAGAACCUUUCCUACAGUGACAGUCAAGAUGCCUUGUCCCUAUGGACUACAUGGGUGGAUGAGCAGCAAUCGUAUAUUCCAACCACCAAGAUGCUGAUAAAUUCUCUCCUCAUAAAUUUAUGGUAAAAGCAGCCAAAUCAAGAGCACCAGGGAGCAUUGGAGGGACAAGAUGCUCUCAUUCAAACAUUCAUCCAAGAUGACCGACCCUGGAUCCUGGCACUCUGCAAACAUUCAUCCAAGAUGACCGACCCUGGAUCCUGGCACUCUGCAGCCUAAUGGGCCUGAGCAUCCCUGGGAUAAUCCCACCCCUCCCCUGCUGAUGCCGGGCCUUGGUGCAGCACACAGGAUGGUUCUGAGGCUGGGGGAGCAACAAGGUAGGGUCUGAUAGGGUUUGCAGCAAACAGGCAGUACAGCAUUAGCUUAUUGCUUGUAUCUUCUUUGCUUU